rnacentral:lncRNA from 1 species
UUAUUCUAGAAAGCCAAAAAUGUUAUUUUUAUGGCUAAAUGUGAUAGAGGAAAUUGAGACGAGAAUUUCGGUACCAAUUUUAUAGAAAUCGGACCAAGAUUGGACCGAACGGGCCAAACCGGGCCAACCGGACCCAAAGUGGGCCCUUGGCCCAACAUAACUAAACCAAAACCCUAGUUUUCAGCACUCUCUCUCCUCAUUUGAGACACUAAACACGCUGAAAUGGAGGCCAUGGAGGGAAGAACACUCUCUCAAGUUCUAUCUCUCACUUGAUCUUCAAACCACCAUAACUUUUGAUCUAGAGCUCCGAUUGCCGCUCCGUUUGCGGCCACGCGUUCACCGCGGAGAGCUCUACAAAACCCAUACAACUAAUCUUGAGGUAAGCCACGUGUUUCUGUUCGAAAUUCCAGCCCUUAUUUUCGAGUUUCAUGGGUAAAAUGUUGAGAUUUUGGGUUCUUUGAUGUUAUAGGACCCAACUCUCUUGAAGGAGAAGGUUAAUCUUGUCUCCUUGGACCUUGGGUGUGGUAAGAUUCUCAACCCUAGUAUAAUUUGUUGUUCUAUGAUGUUUGGGUAUUGAGAUGUUGUGUAUGGGUAUGAUGAUUGUGGCUUAGGUUGUGUAUAUGUGAAUAUUGGAGCUUGAUUGGUGAUUUUGGAAAGCUUGGAAGAGGGUUUUGUGUGAUAAAAUCUGUUCUUGGAGGUGUUGAUACCUUGAGAGCUUGUGGACAAGUGGUUUGGAAGUGCUCCGGUUGAGCUUGGGGAAUCGGCUAAGGUAUGGUUUUAGUUUCCCGUAUCUAAUAUGUAAUGUGGUAGGAAAUACUUAGGCUAGAGGCCCUAAGAUAGGCAUUGAAUUGUUGGUGUUGUUGAAUAGUUGAGAUAUAUGAUGUGUUCAUAUAUGUGAUUAUGAAUAUUGAUGCCUUGAUUGUGUGAAAUAUGAGAAAUGCAUGUUGUGAUAUAUGCUUGAUGGAUGAUUGAGGUUGAAUUGAUGGGUGGUACCAUGUUGAUGGUGAGUAUGAUGUUGAUUAUGUAUAAUGAUGGUUAGUUGGAAAU